UCCAUCGCUCCCACCACCAUUACCAUCUCAAUGGCCUCCACUGCUCCAUCGCUCCCACCACCAUUACCAUCUCAAUGGCCUCCACUGCAACCAACAUCACCACCUUCGUCACGUCCGCCACUACUAUCAGAUAGUGAAUAAUAAUUUUUCGAUUUCAAAUCGAUUUGCAAGCUGGUGAUUGCCGAAGGAGAUGGUGCAGUGGUGGUGGAGAAGGAUUAUUUGAAACUGUGGAGAUAUCGAAUGUAACAGCAAACAAAAAUUAAUUUAGGGUUCCUCAAAUUUAAAUUCAAUCCCUCAGAUUUUAUUGAAGCUCAAAGAGUAAUGAUGAUGAUGUGGUAGUAGUAGUAGUCGCGAUGGUGGAGGAGCUUUGGAUGUUGUGUUGAAUGUGGUGGCGGAUAAUUUUGCAGUGGAAGUGCUGUUGGUGGUUGUUGUGAAGGUGUUGGUGGAUAAUUUUGGUGGAAGUGCUGCUGGUGGUUGUUGUGAAGGUGUUGUUGUGGAGGCCAAAGCACAACUAGUUGGAAUUCGUGACCGUAAGCAAUGAUGGUGACGGACUCCAGCCCCCUAUAUCAUCUCAAAGAGACUCAACAAGUGAAGUUCAUGCGGAAGGCAAACGUGUGGUUACUGCAACCAAUCCAGAUGCCAAGGAUGUGGCAGAUCUAUUGAGGUACUUGUGUGUUCUUGUGAGAUGCGUUGGUUGCCCAGCUGCUGGUUUUUAAACCUGUGUUAUCCCUCUUUUGAAAAUCUAUUCAAGUUAUUGCAUCUUAACUUAUAGUUUCUGUAAGUAUGCAAUUCCUCCCUUUGCACGUGUCACCAAAAUUA